rnacentral:rRNA from 1 species
AUAGGCGAUUUUAAUGAGAUUCUGUACUCCCACGAGAAAGAGGGUGGUGCUCCUCGUCCAGUCCGUAUGAUGCAAAACUUUCGAGGCACUCUAGUUGAUUGCGAGCUAAAUGACAUGGGCUUCACCGGAGAGCAGUUUACUUGGAGGCGACGAUGUAUUAGGGAAUGUCUAGAUCGUGCAGCGUGUAAAGAAGGAUUUCAUGGCUUGUUUGCUAAUGCAAUUAUUACCAAUGUGCCACACUUGAAGCCUGGUCAUCGAACGUUAGUUUUGGAGGCUGAGGGGGAUUCGAACAUCAUUCGACAACAAGGACAGCGACAUCAGCAGUUUGAGGCACGUUGGUUUAAGGAGGAUGGCAUGGUUGAUAGGGUGACUGUGCACGGUCGCGUACCCUAG